rnacentral:sRNA from 1 species
UAGCUAAUCUCUUCCGGUAUUAAAAAAGAGGAAAAACAAAACCAAUUGAUAUAAUGUGCGAGGCAUUUCCAGGAUCAAAAGGCAUGGAAAAAAGCAAAAAGAUCAGGAUAUACCACAACCAAUAUAGCGUCACAAGCCAUUAUACCUGAAGGAACUGUUUUUAUCCUUCAGAAUUGGUAAUGGACGCCAAUACAAAAACAAAAAACACUAAAACUCUUUCUUCAAUAGGGCAAAAUUUUUGAUAAAAAAUGCUCAGUGGAAGGAGAAGUCGUUUUAAAGGAGAGCUCACGGUAAACCCACUGCUCUUCUCACACUCUUCGUGCUUUCAUCUCAUCAUUGCAUCAUCAUCAUCAAACCCAUAACAGUAAUCCAACAAAACAAAACAAAAAACAUUGAAAGAACAAAUAAGCUUCAGUGUGUGUAACAAAUUCAGUUCAUUGAUUCAAAAACCUCACUGAAAUCCGCUAAGAUAAUUGUUUUUAUCAUCAUCAGCUUUAUAACCCAAAACAAGUACAUACAAACAUCAAUCAAACCUAUUAACAAUAAUCCAACUAAACAAAAGCCAAACAUUAAAAAAAAAAAAAAGCCUCAGUGUGUGUAACAAAUUCAGAUCAUUGAUUGAAAAACCUCACUGAAAUCCGCUAAGAUAAUUGUUUUCUAUCAUCAUAAGCUUAUAAGUGGAAAAACAUCAACCAACAAAAAAAAACAAUAACAGAGAAAUUUGUCUUCAAACCAAUCAAAAGAUAAGAUUUUGGGU